rnacentral:rRNA from 1 species
UACAGAGGUCCCAAGCGUUGUUCGGAUUCACUGGGCGUAAAGGGUGCGUAGGCGGUCGGGUAAGUCUGAUGUGAAAUCUCACAGCUUAACUGUGAAACUGCAUUGGAUACUAUCCGGCUGGAGGAAUGGAGGGGAGACUGGAAUACUUGGUGUAGCAGUGAAAUGCGUAGAUAUCAAGUGGAACACCAGUGGCGAAGGCGAGUCUCUGGACAUUUCCUGACGCUGAGGCACGAAAGCCAGGGGAGCAAACGGG